UGGUAAUCCCAAACCGAACUAAUAAUGUUUUUAAUAUAAUUUUAUAUUUAAAUAAAUUAAUAGUAGCCGUUGGAUUCGGAUGAGAUUGAAUCUCAACUGUUCGUCUCUCAACCUCACCCUUUGACGACUCUGACCUCACAAUUUCUCUCUCGACUCCGACGCCAUCUCUCUCUCGACCUCAGCUCUGCAACUUCUCCGGCUAUCAAAACGCCGGCGACACCAGACCAUUGAGCACAACACGACAACUCAGUUCCAAUGGCAUCGCCAAAAUCUUCUACAGUUGGACCGCUGACAAGUGAAGAACUGAUGUGCUGCAAAUUGAUCUGCUUGAUAUAUUGAGGGGUGCCUAAUUUUGAAGGUGAGUAUCUGAAUCAAAGUGAAAUGGCAGCUCCUCCAUCGCCUCCGCCACCUCAAAUUCAAUGACGCCAUUCACUACCUCCACGACCAGCCAUUUCAAAAUCAAGUGGUAGGGGUCAAUCAUCUAAAUGAGUCAAGCUUCUACAAGGAGAAGGGGUCGACCAUGUACGAGGGAAAGAGGCCUAAAAGGGCCAAUACUCAUCAACUGCUUGAACUUUGAACUAAGAGUUGUCAUGACUAAGUUAGUUAAUUGAUUUCAAAACGAACUCUAAGUUGUGCCAAUGUUUUGAAGCAAAGUGGCAAAGUCUACAAGAAAUUACUGAAAAAAGAGUUGUAGAAUUUUGUAUGUGAAUUGGCAAAAAAAUAAAAAAGCUUCAGAAGCCAAACAAAAUUAGGCUGAAAAGGUGUUCGUGGUUGGUUUCUGCGGAGCUGCUUGUUUGGAUUUGCCAAAUUGUUGGAGGAUUGUUUUGGGUUGAUUGAGAAACCAUUCGGCGGCGGAUGCUGGGGUCGAGAAGUCUCUUUUGUUAUGUUAAUAAUGUUGGGCUCUUGGUUGAGCUUUGUUUGGUUAGUUGGGAGGUCCAAUUGUGUUUAUGGUCUUAUUUUGUUUGUGGGCAUCUGUUUGUAAUAUAUUGCAUGGAAUAAAAUCUUCUCCUUUCUUCGGAAAGGUUUUACCAAAAACAUAAAAAAUAAAAUAAAAAAAAA